UGCGUAGGCGGGUUUUUAAGUCAGGGUGAAAUUCUGGAGCUCAACUCCAGAACUGCCUUUGAUACUGAAGAUCUUGAGUCCGGGAGAGGUGAGUGGAACUGCGAGUGUAGAGGUGAAAUUCGUAGAUAUUCGCAAGAACACCAGUGGCGAAGGCGGCUCACUGGCCCGGUACUGACGCUGAGGCACGAAAGCGUGGGAGCAAACA
rnacentral:rRNA from 1 species